GAUGAACGCUGGCGGCGUGCCUAAUACAUGCAAGUCGAGCGAACAGACGAGGAUCUUGCUCCUCUGACGUUAGCGGCGGACGGGUGAGUAACACGUGGAUAACCUACCUAUAAGACUGGGAUAACUUCGGGAAACCGGAGCUAAUACCGGAUAAGAUAUUGAACCGCAUGGUUCAAUAGUGAAAGACGGUUUUGCUGUCACUUAUAGAUGGAUCCGCGCCGCAUUAGCUAGUUGGUAAGGUAACGGCUUACCAAGGCAACGAUGCGUAGCCGACCUGAGAGGGUGAUCGGCCACACUGGAACUGAGACACGGUCCAGACUCCUACGGGAGGCAGCAGUAGGGAAUCUUCCGCAAUGGGCGAAAGCCUGACGGAGCAACGCCGCGUGAGUGAUGAAGGUCUUCGGAUCGUAAAACUCUGUUAUUAGGGAAGAACAAAUGUGUAAGUAACUCUGCACGUCUUGACGGUACCUAAUCAGAAAGCCACGGCUAACUACGUG
rnacentral:rRNA from 1 species